rnacentral:rRNA from 1 species
UUCUGGCUCAGGACGAACGCUGGCGGCGUGCUUCAUACAUGCAAGUCGAGCGAGAAGCUGACUUCGGUCAGUGGAAAGUGGCGGACGGGUGAGUAAUAUGUAGAGAAUCUGCCCUUGAGUGGGGGACAACAGAGGGAAACUUCUGCUAAUACCCCCUAUGAGCUAACUUGAAAUAGUUAUCUUGAAAACUCCGGUGCUCAAGGAUGAGUCUGCAUCUGAUUAGCUAGUUGGCGGUGUAAUGGACCACCAAGGCGACGAUCAGUAGCUGGUUUGAGAGGAUGAUCAGCCACAAUGGGACUGAGACACGGCCCAUACUCCUACGGGAGGCAGCAGUAGGGAAUUUUGCGCAAUGGGCGAAAGCCCUGACGCAGCAACGCCGCGUGAACGAUUAAGCCCUUCGGGGUGUAAAGUUCUGUCAGUAGGGACGAAUUUUGACGGUACCUACAGAGGAAGCACCGGCUAACUCCGUGCCAGCCGCCGC